GUGGGUAGUUUGACUGGGGCGGUCUCCUCCCAAAGCGUAACGGAGGAGCACGAAGGUUAGCUAAUCCUGGUCGGACAUCAGGAGGUUAGUGCAAUGGCAUAAGCUAGCUUGACUGCGAGCGUGACGGCGCGAGCAGGUGCGAAAGCAGGUCAUAGUGAUCCGGUGGUUCUGAAUGGAAGGGCCAUCGCUCAACGGAUAAAAGGUACUCCGGGGAUAACAGGCUGAUACCGCCCAAGAGUUCAUAUCGACGGCGGUGUUUGGCACCUCGAUGUCGGCUCAUCACAUCCUGGGGCUGAAGUAGGUCCCAAGGGUAUGGCUGUUCGCCAUUUAAAGUGGUACGCGAGCUGGGUUUAGAACGUCGUGAGACAGUUC
rnacentral:rRNA from 1 species